rnacentral:rRNA from 1 species
GACGAACCGUGCGAACGUUGUUCGGAAUCACUGGGCUUAAAGGGCGCGUAGGCGGGCCAUCAAGUCAGGGGUGAAAUCCUCCAGCUCAACUGGAGAACAGCUUUUGAUACUGGUGGCCUCGAGGGGGGGUAGGGGCAUGUGGAACUUCCGGUGGAGCGGUGAAAUGCGUAGAUAUCGGAAGGAACGCCGGUGGCGAAAGCGACGUGCUGGACCCUUUCUGACGCUGAGGCGCGAAAGCCAGGGGAGCAAACGGG